rnacentral:rRNA from 1 species
ACUCAAAUGAAUAGACGGGGGCUCGCACAAGUGGUGGAGCAUGCGGUUUAAUUCGAUGCUACGCGAAAAACCUUACCAACCCUUGACAUGGUGGUCAUCGGUCUCAGAGAUGAGACUUUCAGUUCGGCUGGACCACACACAGGUGUUGCAUGGCUGUCGUCAGCUCGUGUCGUGAGAUGUUGGGUUAAGUCCCGCAACGAGCGAAACCCUCAUCCUUAUUUGCCAGCGAUUCGGUCGGGAACUAUAAGGAAACUGCCGGUGAUAAACCGGAGGAAGGUGGGGACGAUGUCAAGUCAUCAUGGCCCUUACGGGUUGGGCUACACGCGUGCUACAAUGGUAUUUACAGAGGGAUGCAAGACGGCGACGUGGAGCAAAUCCUCAAAAAAUAUCUCAGUUCGGAUUGCUCUCUGCAACUCGAGAGCAUGAAGUCGGAAUCACUAGUAAUCGCGGAUCAGCAUGCCGCGGUGAAUACGUUCUCGGGCCUUGUACACACCGCCCGU